CAUAAGCGUAGAAUUUGAAUUGAAGUCAACAUUGGCUCUCUGUUUAUUUGCGGAUGACUGUGCUGUUAUUUUUCCAGCCUUUUUUUUUUUUAAAGAAGUGUACAUAAAGUUCUAAUCUGUGGGCUCUUGCUGUAAUGCUUGCCAUAGAUUUAUUGAGAGCCCCAAAAUAUUUUAACAAACAGCAUGGAAACAUAUUAUUGCCACGCUUUCUUCCCAGAGACGAUGACUCAAACUGUUUGGGAUGAAAGAUGCUUUGUUCUGAACUCCUGUUUAAAUAUGUGUGGGGUAUUGAUUAUAACAAUGUUUCCCGGAUGACCGUUGUUGGAAUAAGCAGCUCAGAUGAUGGCUGGAUGAGGUAUCGUAACUCGCCGAGACUGGAUCACUACUACCCCUCCUGUUAGCAGCUAAGUAUUAUUCAAUACAGUAUUUUGUUUCAAUAGCGUCAAAGACGAAUACUUAAUAUAAACAAGUACUUUAAAUUUCCUACAAUCAGGAAUUGGAACCCAAAAAAACAACGAAAAACUUUGAAUAUGAGAGGCUCAGCAGCCCUAUUUGAAGGCUUCCCAUUCAUCAUGUACAUAACACAGUUAGUGAUUGGCUGACAAGGGCUCACAGAUGUCACGCAACUUAUUAUUAGCUGACAGAUACAGUAGCUUAGCAGUUGGCAACAUAGUGCAGCUGUAGAAUAUUACACAGGAUGCAGCCUGGACUGUGAAAUGGAGUGAUGUGGAGAGUGGGCAUCAACCUGAACUAGGAGUCUCUUGAUAGUCCCACCCCUCCUACCCCACCCCUUUUAUUAAAACUUUCGACACAAGCACACACAAACACAAAAUAAUUACAACUUGCUGAAUUUCUAAGCAAAUUUCAUAAGGUUUGUUUUGUGUCAGCGUGGCUGCAUGCCCAGGGAGUAGUUCAUAGCAUUAAUACCACUGAUCUGAUAUUAUGUGCAUCCCCAGUUCUUGCUUUGCUAUGUUGCUAUGACUAUGACAGACUGCCCCAGGGCAGCUGGGGCUGCACAGGUUGUUUACCACCACUAGGAUGUGAUCGUGGAAAGAAUGAACAAUGAAUGGAA